rnacentral:misc_RNA from 1 species
GGUGCGCUUGGCCAGCGAGGGCGAGAUGCCCUUGGCGAUGUCGAGGCCGGUGGUGCCUUUGGGGAAUUCGCGCUGCGCGCCGUCCGGGAAGGUGACCUUCACUUUGUCGGUCUCGAGGUUGGCGAGGCUGUACUUCAAUCCGGGCGCGGAAGGGUCUUUAUCGGUCAUAUCAUUCUCCUGUGGCUCACUCCUGCGAACGGGCGCAGGUAAGCGGUGAGACA